rnacentral:lncRNA from 1 species
GCAACCCAGCCUACUCUGGCUGAGCAGCCUACUCCCGUGGCCCAGCCUGCUCCUGCGGCCCAGCCUACUUUCGUGGCCUUCCAAGCAGCCCAAAUCGGUCCAAGAUUAGUUCAACCGUCCCGGCUCUAAAUUUUCAGACCAACGAUCGAACCGGGACCAUUUUCACCACAUUUUUUUACGGAUUUGACAUUUUCUAACUUAAAUCUUAGUCGCGGAGUCUACCACACUUCCACUGCUCAAGGAGAUCCAUUCCUUCCAAACUCUUCCAACACAAAUAGAGAACAACACUUGUCUCGACAAGUCAUAAAGUUGACGAGUGCCCUCGCACAGCAGACGACCUUGGUGAACUAGCCCGAGAUACAACGUACCCCAGAUGAGGUGUCGCGAAGUAAGACAAGGGCAGACGAAGAACCUUUUCAGCAGUGUCCCGACAAGCAGCUACUCAACUGACCACGUACCGAGCGUUCAGGCAGUGUACUUCUGACUGGGUCCUCGAGAUAGUGUAUACUCCCGUCUUAGCGUGUUAAGGAGUGGGCACUCUUGACUAGGCCCACGGACGAGCAUACAUUCACGGUUAGGGUCACACUCUGAUGGUUAACAUGAGUAACCUUCCAGGCAAAGUGUUCAUUUACAUCUAAGCCUACAAGGAACAGUAGAGAGUUUUUUGACUAAGCGAUUGCGCCAUUUCCAACGCAAUGAGGUCACCAACGAAGCACUAUGAUAGGACAUAAGCUGGUCACCAUUCACGGAGGAGAUUGAGCAGGCAGUGCAGCUUUCCAAAAAGGACUUCCAGCAGACCACCCGUUGAUUUAGAAAAUUGAUCAUGAAAAAAGAUCUAACUCUGGCAGACUCUUUCGCUCUGACAGACAAGCAUGCACUUUAGGACAAGGCUCGCCGAUAAAGAUGCAAGGACUUGAAAAAGAACUUGACAUCACCUUACUACUAUCCAAACCGGAAGCAGCAGAUGACCUACUUGCAUGUUUGACGGUAUCGGAAGUAGCAAUAAGCUCAACCAUCAUAUAAGAAGAGAUGAAGGCAUGACUACUUGUAUUUCAUAGUUCAAAAGCUCUAUUCGAUGCUACCAGAAAUUCAAAAGCUAACUUUGGCGAUAGUUGUUGCAAUCCGAAAUCUUAAGUUUUACCUUCAAACGAACGCAACAACUCGACCCAAAGGUGCAUAAAGGGUAGACGAACACUAGAAGGACACACUCGAAAUCAAGUUUUGUCUUCGUCGCCCCAAAAGAUUCUACAUAGGAGCAGCAUGUAUCGACAAUCGAACACCACCUCCUGCUACAUGUCAAACGGCCCUAGUCGACCCUUGUUCCAUAAUUCAACUCUAGAGUGGCCCAAUACCGGUAGUUGAGCAUCUUCUACUGCAUGUAGCAUGGCCUCAGCUCCACGACUCCCUAUUGCGCCUUCACGCUUAGCCUAGGUGACACAAUAAAGUGGCUUAACGACGCCCCAAAGGUAGCUGAG